UCAUCGACAGCGUCUACGUCGGCAACGACACCAACCCUGUUCGAACCCGUUGCGGGACACCACUUCUUCGACGGCGACGGGAUCGCCAGGCUCCUCCUGUUCUACGCCAGGGGCCUCUUCGGCUUGGGCUUGGUCGACCCCUCGCACGGGACUGGCGUCGCCAACGCCGGCCUCAUCUACUUCAGUGACCGCAUGCUGGUGAUGUCAGAGGACGAACUCCCGUACCAAGUCUGCAUACAGGCUCCAGCGACCUCGGGACCGUCGGGGGGUACGAUUUCGAUGGGCAGCUUAGCUCCGCCAUGAUCGCUCACCCGAAGCUCGACCCUGUUUCCAAGGAGCUGUUCGCCUUGAUUUUGGGUUUAUUACUGUGUUGACAUGGGACAUAGGUUGCUGAUGAAACUCUUAAAGGAGAGGCAACACGGUGAAGUUCCAGCAUAGAAAGGCUCUUGAAGAUGUGCCACGAGCACCUCCCUGUCGCCCCCUUCUUCGACUCCACCGCUGCCGUCAAUGUUAAGGUUUACAAUGCUAGAGAUUCUCGAGAAGGAGAUGCAGAUGAGUCAUGCAAUUGUACUCACUUUUCAUAAUAAUUUACAAUUUUUGUUAUUGUACUGAUUUUUUAUUUCGAUAUUGGCGAACAUUAAAUUGUAUGCUAUCUUUUUUCUAAUUGUUAGGAGAAUUACACUGA